UACAGAGGGUGCAAGCGUUAAUCGGAAUUACUGGGCGUAAAGCGCACGUAGGCGGUUUUUUAAGUCAGAUGUGAAAGCCCCGGGCUCAACCUGGGAAUUGCAUUUGAAACUGGGAAACUGGAGUGUGUGAGAGGGGGGUAGAAUUCCAAGUGUAGCGGUGAAAUGCGUAGAGAUUUGGAGGAAUACCAGUGGCGAAGGCGGCCCCCUGGCACAACACUGACGCUCAGGUGCGAAAGCGUGGGGAGCAAACAGG
rnacentral:rRNA from 1 species